AUACCAUGAUGAGGACAAGCUCUCGUGUAUCCUUUCAUACGCUCUCAUGCAUCAUACAAACUCUCCUCUUUGCCUUACUCAAAUCUAGCUAUAUUGUUUCUUAUCUU
rfam:Arabis alpina cultivar Pajares chromosome 7, whole genome shotgun sequence.